rnacentral:lncRNA from 1 species
UCUUCAGGAAGAAAAAAUGCCCGCCCCAGAGUUUUAAUCCAAGCUUUUAAUUUCCUUUGUUAGGAGGAGACAGUGUCAUCUGCUGGAGAUGUGGCCUGAGGAAACAGAAAGGAUAAAUCCUGGGAGACUCCUGAAAAAUAAAUUCCAGCUCGGACACAAUUCCAGGUGGUUCUCUUCCAUGGAACUCUAAGGAAGAAAGGAGACGCUUGGAAAUAGGAGAGAGUAAGAUACUAGAAAUUCUUCCUUUGGAGCUCAGUACCAUUUUAAAGCUCUCCACAUCACCCCCACCUUUUUGACACAUCUUAUUUCAAACGAAGUAGAAUAAGCACUGAACUGUAAAUCUGUGAAUGUGGACCUCAGAUUUCUUUCUGUA